rnacentral:rRNA from 1 species
UACGGAGGGUGCAAGCGUUAUCCGGAAUCACUGGGUUUAAAGGGAGAGUAGGCGGCUUUGUAAGUCAGGGGUGAAAGCCCGCAGCUUAACUGCGGAACUGCCUAUGAUACUGCAGAGCUUGAAAGAGGUUGAGGUCAGCGGAACGUGACAUGUAGCGGUGAAAUGCAUACAUAUGUCACAGAACACCAAUUGCUAAGGCAGCUGGCUGGGCCUACUUUGACGCUUAGGCACGAAAGCGUGGGGAGCGAACAGG